rnacentral:rRNA from 1 species
AUUGAACGCUAGCUGUAUGCUUAACACAUGCAAGUCGAACGGCAGCGCGAGGAGCUUGCUCCUUGGCGGCGAGUGGCGGACGGGUGAGUAACGCGUAGGAACCUACCAAGUAGCGGGGGACAACUCGGGGAAACUCGAGCUAAUACCGCAUAAUCCCUCCGGGGGAAAGCAGGGGAUCUUCGGACCUUGCACUAUUUGAUGGGCCUGCGUAGGAUUAGCUUGUUGGUGAGGUAAAGGCUCACCAAGGCGACGAUCCUUAGCUGGUCUGAGAGGAUGAUCAGCCACACUGGGACUGAGACACGGCCCAGACUCCUACGGGAGGCAGCAGUGGGGAAUAUUGGACAAUGGGGGAAACCCUGAUCCAGCAAUACAGCGUGUGUGAAGAAGGUCUUCGGAUUGUAAAGCACUUUCAGUUAGGAAGAAAAAAUAUCGGUUAAUACCGAUAUCUUGACGUUACUACAGAAGAAGCACUGGCUAACUCU